rnacentral:rRNA from 1 species
AUUGAACGCUGGCGGAAUGCUUUACACAUGCAAGUCGAGCGGCAGCGCGGGGGCAACCCUGGCGGCGAGCGGCGAACGGGUGAGUAACACAUCGGAACGUACCCAGUUGUGGGGGAUAGCCCGGCGAAAGCCGGAUUAAUACCGCAUACGACCUGAGGGUGAAAGGGGGGGAUCGCAAGACCUCUCGCAGUUGGAGCGGCCGAUGGCGGAUUAGCUAGUUGGUGAGGUAAAGGCUCACCAAGGCGACGAUCCGUAGCUGGUCUGAGAGGACGACCAGCCACACUGGAACUGAGACACGGUCCAGACUCCUACGGGAGGCAGCAGUGGGGAAUUUUGGACAAUGGGGGCAACCCUGAUCCAGCCAUUCCGCGUGAGUGAAGAAGGCCUUCGGGUUGUAAAGCUCUUUCGGCAGGAACGAAACGGUGGAGGCUAAUACCUUUCAUCAAUGACGGUACCUGAAGAAGAAGCACCGGCUAACUACGUGCCAGCCGCCGCCGUAA